UACGAAGGGUGCAAGCGUUACUCGGAAUUACUGGGCGUAAAGCGUGCGUGGGUGGUUGUUUAAGUCUGUUGUGAAAGCCCUGGGCUCAACCUGGGAACUGCAGUGGAAACUGGACAACUAGAGUGUGGUAGAGGGUAGCGGAAUUCCCGGUGUAGCAGUGAAAUGCGUAGAGAUCGGGAGGAACAUCCAUGGCGAAGGCAGCUACCUGGACCAACACUGACGCUGAGGCACGAAAGCGUGGGGAGCAAACAGG
rnacentral:rRNA from 1 species